rnacentral:rRNA from 1 species
UAAGGAAUAUUGGUCAAUGGACGCAAGUCUGAACCAGCCAUGCCGCGUGGAGGAUUAAGGCCCUCUGGGUUGCAAACUCCUUUUAUCUGGGAAGAAAUGUACUUUUUCUUGAGUACUUGACGGUACCAGAGGAAUAAGCACCGGCUAACUCCGUGCCAGCAGCCGCGGUAAUACGGAGGGUGCAAGCGUUAUCCGGAUUCACUGGGUUUAAAGGGUGCGUAGGUGGGCAGGUAAGUCAGUGGUGAAAUCUCCGGGCUUAACCCGGAAACUGCCGUUGAUACUAUUUGUCUUGAAUAUUGUGGAGGUAAGCGGAAUAUGUCAUGUAGCGGUGAAAUGCUUAGAUACGACAUAGAACACCAAUUGCGAAGGCAGCUUACUACACAAUCAUUGACGCUGAGGCACGAAAGCGUGGGGAUCAAACA